rnacentral:rRNA from 1 species
AUACGGAGGGUGCGAGCGUUAUCCGGAAUCACUGGGUUUAAAGGGUGCGUAGGCGGCAUCAUAAGUCAGAGGUGAAAGGCCACAGCUUAACUGUGGAACUGCCUUUGAAACUGUGGAGCUAGAAUAAGGUUGAGGUUAGCGGAAUGUGACAUGUAGCGGUGAAAUGCAUAGAUAUGUCAUAGAACACCAAUUGCGAAGGCAGCUAACCGGGCCUUUAUUGACGCUGAGGCACGAAAGCGUGGGGAGCGAACAGGAUUAGAUACCCCAGUAGUCC